AGCGAACGCUGGCGGCAGGCUUAACACAUGCAAGUCGAGCGCCCCGCAAGGGGAGCGGCAGACGGGUGAGUAACACGUGGGAACGUACCCUUUGGCUCGGAACAACCCAGGGAAACUUGGGCUAAUACCGGAUACGUCCGUAAGGAGAAAGAUUUAUCGCCAAAGGAUCGGCCCGCGUCUGAUUAGCUAGUUGGUGAGGUAAUGGCUCACCAAGGCUACGAUCAGUAGCUGGUCUGAGAGGAUGAUCAGCCACAUUGGGACUGAGACACGGCCCAAACUCCUACGGGAGGCAGCAGUGGGGAAUAUUGGACAGUGGGGGCAACCCUGAUCCAGCCAUGCCGCGUGAGUGAUGAAGGCCCUAGGGUUGUAAAGCUCUUUUAGCAGGGAAGAUAAUGACGGUACCUGCAGAAAAAGCCCCGGCUAACUUCGUGCCAGCCGCCGCCGUAA
rnacentral:rRNA from 1 species